GCCUUGUUUCUCUGAAAUCUCUUCCCAUUACAAAUGGCAUCAUAUUAAUAUUGAUUUUAGAAGGCUUUGGAAACACAACGACCACAUCCUUUUGAAAAAAUGCUCGUACGCCUUGCGUUCUGAGUUUGAGAAAACUCACGUACGAUGUGUCGUUUUCUUCUGGAUGGGAAUUUUCAUCUGUUUUCUUAAUUCUUGAUUUCCAGUGAUCCACCACAUUGUUCCAUAUGGCUUUCAAUACAUAAUGCAGGCCAAGCAAUUUAUGCAAAGGACUUUCAGUGUCAUAGAGACCUUGGAGUAUCGCUCGAGCUACUGGGUUUAGCCGUGUGAUUUCAUCUUUGUCUUCUGACAUCUUCUUGUAUAUGAUGACUAUACUCACUCCAAAAAAACUCU
rnacentral:lncRNA from 1 species